GCGGACGUGGCGAAAAGGUAGACGCAGCAGACUUAAAAUCUGCUCCGGGAUACCGGGUGCGGGUUCGAGUCCCGCCGUCCGCACCA
rnacentral:tRNA from 1 species